AGGGGGAGGCGGGUCGGGGGAGGGCAGGGGAACGGAAGGGGUACCCGGGGAGCAUCCUAAGGGAACCUCUUCGCUUAAAAGGGCGGCCGCUGAAGUGGCUCUGAGAACAAAGGAGUUAACACUCGGACUCCACAGGUGGCCCGGGGUGGCCCUGGAGGAGCCCGCCUUUACCUUGCCCUAGCCCACCGGCGCGUCCCGCAGUUCCGAACUAAACGCGCCAGGCCGGGAAGGCUCGGGCUGUCUGAAGAGAGGCGUGACCUCGCCUACACCAGAUCCAAGGCGCACAUACCGAGACACCCCUCAACCUCACUCAGCAGUGCCGUUUCCAACUCCGCGGCAGAGACAGCGCCUGGCGACCCCGGGGCCUGCGUCCCCGCCCGGUCAGCAUCGCAGGUGUUACCCAAACUCUGACGGUCCCUUUAAGAACUCACCCGGAGUCGCGCCCUCCGAAGCUGAGCCGCCCUCGGCCAGCGCUGCAGGCCCCAGCUUAUAAAUCUAUGAAGGUGUCCAGGUCCUGCCAGACUCCGCUGCAUCUUUUGCUUUCACUCCAGCAGGGUAGCAGCAUGCUGCCUGUGCCAAGGCAAUCACUAAAAGGAAAGGAUUUAAUGCUGUCAAAAAAGCUUAUGCCAGCUUAGGCUGCAGGAAGAGGAACAGUGUCAAGUAUGUUGAAAGUGGACAUAUUGGUCAGACCUCCAUGAGAGCCUAGGGGGCAUUGCUUAGCAGCACGCUUUUAAAGGAAUCUGAACAAACCAGCAUGUGGAAAGAAGAGAGUAACCACAGCAAUCAGGAAACAACUGUACAAUCUAGGGCCAUUUCAUUGGAAAAACAGAAGUCUCCAGGGAGCUGCAGUCAUCAAACAGGCUUAUUCUGUGUACCCAGUGGGCAAGUACAGUCAAUGGAUGAAAAUUCAACCAAUGGACAAACACAGGAAGUUUUUCCUUAACAUGAGUUGUCAGAAACUGUCCAAAAUUCCAAAGAGCUGCCUCAAGGUAGUGGAAAUUUUUUUUUUUUUUUAAUCAGGAAGGUGCUGAAUGAAGCCAGCAAGGAUUCUGUGUCAGAGGGUGGUAGAUACCCAGGACAUAAGGUUGAACCACGUGACCUCUGAGACCACAGUUCUAAGCUGUUGAAACCUCAGUCCCUGCUGAAUACUGAAAUGGUAUUAGCACCCUUUAGUCUACAUCAAGAAUUCGUUCUACCCAGUUUUGGUGGUACCAAGACUGAUCUCUUUCUCAUAGAUAAUUCUUAACAGAAUAAAAGCUACAGGUUGAAACCAAUUCCCUUUAAAAUGUGGACAGUUGACCAUCUCCAUGAUAGGUAGUUAGGCACUGAAUUAAUGCUUUUUAAUGGAAGAGCCACCCUAAGAUUCCUGGAGUGUGGUAUAAUGGAGUACUAAAUCAGCAUAGGACUAAUAACUGCCUCCCGUGUAAACUGGUCUAUCCGGAGAGUGGUAUAGCCUCUCAUACAGUGUUCAAAGGCAGAUUUAACUCACUGCAGGUCCACAGCAACCGAUAAGAUAAACUCGUUGGUUAUGGUCUCCCACUUUGCAAAGGAGAGCACAGAGGAAGAGGAAACUGAGAUAACUUGGUUUAGGACCCCACAGCUGGCUGGAGCUGGGCUGAACAUUAGUUCAUUGUUUCUUCGAUUAAUCUAUGCUGCUUUUUCUCUACUUGGCUCCUUUUCUAAAUUAAACAAAACAAAACAAA
rnacentral:lncRNA from 1 species